rnacentral:rRNA from 1 species
GAUGAACGCUGGCGGCGUGCUUAAUACAUGCAAGUCGAACGAGGGACUUUUGUCUUCGGAUGGGAGUUUCCUAGUGGCGAACGGGUGAGUAACGCGUUGGUGACCUGCCCCAAAGUGAGGGAUAACAGUUCGAAAGGGCUGCUAAUACCCCAUGUGAUCAGUUGGAUUAGAUGCCUUCUGAUUAAAGGAGUAAUCCGCUUUGGGAGGGGCCUGCGUCCCAUCAGCUAGUUGGUAGGGUAAAAGCCUACCAAGGCGAUGACGGGUAGGGGACCUGAGAGGGUGACCCCCCACACUGGCACUGAAACACGGGCCAGACACCUACGGGUGGCAG